GGGACCAUGGCGCAGUUGGCUAGCGCGCAGGUCUCAUACCCCCCCGGUAUGAUCAAGUCGACACAACGACUCGAGUAAUCCUGAGGUCGGGAGUUCGAGCCUCCCUGGUCCCA
rnacentral:tRNA from 1 species